rnacentral:rRNA from 1 species
CAGUGGGGAAUUUUGGACAAUGGGCGCAAGCCUGAUCCAGCCAUUCCGCGUGCAGGAUGAAGGCCCUCGGGUUGUAAACUGCUUUUGUACGGAACGAAACGGCCUGGGUUAAUACCUCGGGCUAAUGACGGUACCGUAAGAAUAAGCACCGGCUAACUACGUGCCAGCAGCCGCGGUAAUACGUAGGGUGCAAGCGUUAAUCGGAAUUACUGGGCGUAAAGCGUGCGCAGGCGGUGAUGUAAGACAGGUGUGAAAUCCCCGGGCUUAACCUGGGAACUGCAUUUGUGACUGCAUUGCUGGAGUGCGGCAGAGGGGGAUGGAAUUCCGCGUGUAGCAGUGAAAUGCGUAGAUAUGCGGAGGAACACCGAUGGCGAAGGCAAUCCCCUGGGCCUGCACUGACGCUCAUGCACGAAAGCGUGGGGAGCAAACAGGAUUAGA